rnacentral:rRNA from 1 species
UACGUAGGGGGCAAGCGUUGUCCGGAAUUAUUGGGCGUAAAGCGCGUGUAGGCGGCUCGGUAAGUCUGCUGUGAAAGUCCAGGGCUCAACCCUGGAAUGCCGGUGGAUACUGUCGAGCUCGAGUCCGGAAGAGGCGAGUGGAAUCCUGGUGUAGCGGUGAAAUGCGCAGAUAUCAGGAGGAACACCAAUGGCGAAGGCAGCUCGCUGGGACGUGACUGACGCUGAGACGCGAAAGCGUGGGGAGCAAACAGG